GAGUUUGCGAUCAAUUCGCGACGGGGGCUCACGAUUUUGUACUAUCAUAGUCAUCGGCGAGGAAGGAACACAGGAUGUAAAAUGUUAUGAAGGAAAUUCUAAACAAAUCACUUUCGUUCGUGCGAUCGUUAACAGCACAUGUAUAAGCCAUGAGCAAACCGAAGGACGUACGUUUCUCACCGACGAAUGCACGUAUAACACGUUAAAAACCACGGAAUAGCAUUGAACCACUGUGGCGCAACAGUCUCGAGUUGUUUAUUGCUGAUUAACUACUCUCGCGAGCUCGUUAAUAAACGGUGCAGCGUGGUAGUCCAGUGACUAUUUUCUAACUGGAAAAAAAGACCGAACGAGUUACCAGGUGUCUCGUGAAAGCAACAGCAAGACAUUGUUCAAGGAUACGUAGUAAAUCAGUAGAAGUCUACGCAAUACUGGAUCGCAGAACGCAAAGCGUGCUGCCGUUUUCCGGGAUCAAUGGUUGUGAUUAGUGCAAAAGCGAUGGUAGACCGUGCUAGUCGCUAUCUGAUCGUUGCAAUUCGCGUCCCCUUUGUCAUUCGAUCGAGACUCAGGCCGGUCUGAGUGUCUGUUUUAAUGCGGCGACAUUUAAUUCGAACCGUUUCGAUUUGAGUUUUCAAUUUGGCGCAAUCGAGGCUCGGCCAACGCAGCCUCGAGAUGAAAUCUACAUUUUCACGCUACGUUCAAUCGCAGAUGCUGAGUCUGACUAGAGGUUGCGCAAUAAUCGAUGCUGAUUAUGGAUUGGAAAAUGCGGUACGAUGUAAUGAAUAAUACGCGGUGAUAGAUGUCUCGAGGAUAGUAAGACCACUUUAUAAUUCCACCUGACAGUUUUGCAUGGAACUGCGACUCUAAUGUAAGUGACAUAACAAAUACUUAUUAAAAGAAGAUACGCUUCAUUUAUUGUAUUUAGUUCUACUUUUUACAAAAAUGUUCUCGCGUUAGCUCGUUUUUCGCGUUCUCGACUUCGCCCACCGUCUGCUCCAUUAUGUCGCCUUUUCGCAAAGUUAACUCGAUAACUCUUCAGAUCUCGAAUUCUUAAAGUACCUUCCAGGAAUUCAAAAGAUUUCGUGAAUUCGCGUCAGUCUCCUUCCGACAGAAAAACGUCCUUCGUUGAAUGUUCCUCAACUUCGCAUACA